rnacentral:rRNA from 1 species
UGGGGAAUAUUGCACAAUGGGCGAAAGCCUGAUGCAGCAACGCCGCGUGAGUGAUGAAGGUCUUCGGAUUGUAAAGCUCUGUCUUUUGGGACGAUAAUGACGGUACCAAAGGAGGAAGCCACGGCUAACUACGUGCCAGCAGCCGCGGUAAUACGUAGGUGGCGAGCGUUGUCCGGAUUUACUGGGCGUAAAGGGUGCGUAGGCGGAUGUUUAAGUGAGAUGUGAAAUACCCGGGCUUAACUUGGGUGCUGCAUUUCAAACUGGAUAUCUAGAGUGCAGGAGAGGAGAAUGGAAUUCCUAGUGUAGCGGUGAAAUGCGUAGAGAUUAGGAAGAACACCAGUGGCGAAGGCGAUUCUCUGGACUGUAACUGACGCUGAGGCACGAAAGCGUGGGUAGCAAACAGGAUUAGAUACCCUGGUAGUCCACGCCGUAAACGAUGAGUACUAGGCGUAGGAGGUAUCGACCCCUUCUGUGCCGCAGUAAACACAUUAAGUACUCCGCCUGGGAAGUACGAUCGCAAGAUUAAAAC